rnacentral:rRNA from 1 species
UAUUGGGCAAUGGGCGCAAGCCUGACCCAGCAACGCCGCGUGAAGGAAGAAGGCUUUCGGGUNGUAAACUUCUUUUAAGAGGGACNNCGNNNGNGACGGUACCUCUUGAAUAAGCCACGGCUAACUACGUNNNANCNGCCGCGGUAAUACGUAGGUGGCAAGCGUUAUCCGGAUUUAUUGGGUGUAAAGGGCGUGUAGGCGGGAGCGCAAGUCAGAUGUGAAAACUCAGGGCUCAACCCUGAGCCUGCAUUUGAAACUGUGUUUCUUGAGUGCUGGAGAGGCAAUCGGAAUUCCGUGUGUAGCGGUGAAAUGCGUAGAUAUACGGAGGAACACCAGUGGCGAAGGCGGAUUGCUGGACAGUAACUGACGCUGAGGCGCGAAAGCGUGGGGAGCAAACAGG